rnacentral:rRNA from 1 species
UACGAGGGGGGCGAGCGUUGUUCGGAAUUACUGGGCGUAAAGGGCGCGUAGGCGGCCUGUUAAGUCGGACGUGAAAUCCCCGGGCUCAACCCGGGAACUGCGUCCGAUACUGGCAGGCUUGAAUCCGGGAGAGGGAUGUGGAAUUCCAGGUGUAGCGGUGAAAUGCGUAGAUAUCUGGAGGAACACCGGUGGCGAAGGCGGCAUCCUGGACCGGCAUUGACGCUGAGGCGCGAAAGCCAGGGGAGCAAACGGG